rnacentral:tRNA from 1 species
AGAGAUAUAGAUAGCUCGGCGGUAGAGCGUCUCGUUCAAUGACCGAGAGUGUCUACGAUUUGAAUCCGUAUAGUCCCA